AACACAUGCAAGUCGAGGGGCAGCGGGAUUGAAGCUUGCUUCAAUUGCCGGCGACCGGCGCACGGGUGAGUAACGCGUAUCCAACCUUCCGUACACUCAGGGAUAGCCUUUCGAAAGAAAGAUUAAUACCUGAUGGUAUCUUAAGCACACAUGUAAUUAAGAUUAAAGAUUUAUCGGUGUACGAUGGGGAUGCGUUCCAUUAGGUAGUAGGCGGGGUAACGGCCCACCUAGCCUACGAUGGAUAGGGGUUCUGAGAGGAAGGUCCCCCACAUUGGAACUGAGACACGGUCCAAACUCCUACGGGAGGCAGCAGUGAGGAAUAUUGGUCAAUGGACGAGAGUCUGAACCAGCCAAGUAGCGUGAAGGAUGAAGGUCCUACGGAUUGUAAACUUCUUUUAUAAGGGAAUAAACCCUCCCACGUGUGGGAGCUUGUAUGUACCUUAUGAAUAAGCAUCGGCUAACUCCGUGCCAGCAGCCGCGGUAAUACGGAGGAUGCGAGCGUUAUCCGGAUUUAUUGGGUUUAAAGGGAGCGCAGACGGGUCGUUAAGUCAGCUGUGAAAGUUUGGGGCUCAACCUUAAAAUUGCAGUUGAUACUGGCGUCCUUGAGUGCGGUUGAGGUGUGCGGAAUUCGUGGUGUAGCGGUGAAAUGCUUAGAUAU
rnacentral:rRNA from 1 species